rnacentral:lncRNA from 1 species
ACUCUGAUAAGAGUGUCACCACUGUCACUGAUGAUAUCAGAUUGCAGGCUGACGACUCCUCAGAAUUAAAACAUGCAACGUGUUUUUUCCAGCUGAUAUAGCAGAACCGACUCCUGAGAGCAGACGUAUCUGAAGCUGUCAGGGAGGAACCAUGGCUACCAUCUCUGAACCGGACCCUGGACUCUCUGAGGAACCUGAGGACACGUCUUUGGACCGGAGGGAGCGCAAGAGAAGAUUUGCUGGUAGAGCAAAGAAGAAGGCUAAGUCCAGACGCCGUGGAAGCCGUCAGAGAGUAACAAAGGUCACCAUCUCUGAACCGGAGCCUGGACUCUCUGAGGAACCUGAGGACACGUCUUUGGACCGGGAGGAGACCAGGAAGAGAAGAUUUGGUAGGUGCCCCUUUAUAGAGAGUUUAAAAGAAAUAAUCCAGUCCAAAACAAUGAUCCAAAAAAGUAUGAUUUCCUCCAAAUACAUUUAAGGCUUUUUAGCCGAAGUGACCGUGUGUGUGUGUGUGUGUGUGUGUGUGUGUGUGUGUGUGCGUGCGUGCGUGCGUGCGUGCGUGCGUGCGUGCGUGCGUGCGUGCGUGCGUGCGUGCGUGCGUGCGUGCGUGCGUGCGUGCGUGCGUGCGUGCGUGCGUGCGUGCGUGCGUGCGUGCGUGCGUGCGUGCGUGCGUGCGUGCGUGCGUGCGUGUGUGCGUGCGUGUGUGUGUGUGUGUGUGUGUGUCCUACUCCUGAACAGCUUUAUGGUUUCACAUCACUGUCAUUGUGAGCAUCGGACUGCUGAGUAUUCUCCUCAUCUCCCUGCGCUUCAGUGAGUCUAAAUCCUAUCCCCCUGAAUAGAAUUACAAUACAGUAAUCAUAUAAUUGAUUGUAUUAAUAGCAAUGAUAAUGUUAAAUAUUGUUUUUGUUAGAUUUAGUGAUAAUAAUAGGGUUACCACACAUACACCGCACGCACACCCAUAAACACAGCAUACACACACACAAACAAUCCACACACACGUGCACGAACACGCACGCACAUGCACACACACUGCACACACGGGCGUGCUGAUGCAGGCGUUUCAAGACAAGGGCAGCGCAGGACACCGCCUACACACACACCACACACACAUGCACACACACACGCACACACAUGCACGUGCAUACACACACUGCACACACGCGGAUGCAGAUGUUUCAAGACAACGGCAAGAUUGAGAUAACAGCCCCGCCGCCGACACACUCUCCCACCUGAGCCUUAUGUCCAUCAAAGACACUUUUUUGCAAAACGUUAUUUUUCUUUAAACAUUAUCCACCUCCUUGAGCCUCCAGAAAUGUCUUGAGAUAUUGAAAUCCCCCCUCCCCCCUCCCCCCUUCCGACUGUUUUAGUUGUUUUAUUUUUCUUAUGUUUUAUGUGUAGGCUAUGUGUGACUGUAGGCUACUGCUGCUUGUCUUGGCCAGAUCACUUGAAGAGAUGCUUAAUCUCAAUGACGCAUUCUUCUGUUAACAAAAAAAAAACAUCUCUCACGUCAGGUAGCCAAUCUGUAAUCUUGCCUUCAUUGUGUCAGUAGCUUUAAUGCAAAUGAGGAGGAGAGAAGCGGGUCAAGAAGGAGGGUGGGGGUGUGGCCCUGAGCAGCUUGAGGCCACGGUACCAUGCCCUCUGCUUACAGUGGAUGCAUCGCAAUGGCGAGGCAUACAACAAUCAAUCCCUUUCUCCUCAAUGUCAUGGUUCAUGUACUUCAGGGAGUCAAAGCCAAAGUUCCUUUCCCCCAAUUCCUUCUCAACCAUGGCGGAGAUAACCCCAACUACAGUCUGGUUGUGGAAUUACUAGGGACGUCAAAGAACCAACGUUUUAUGCGCCAUAGCAUCAAAGCAGAAUGGUUAUCCAAACUACCAAGCACCACACAUGUUGCGCUCACAUGGUCAUAGCUCAUUGUAUGAUUGGCAGGCCGAAUUUUCUGGGCGGGCCAGUCAGAGAAAGGGGAGGUAACUUGGCCCCUUAUGGCGACAUAUGGGGCCACAUUACAAAUCAGCAAGCCUGAGCUUCCAUUUUUUAUAAAGACGAGCAGGAUAGCUAGUGCUCGUUUUACACCGAACGCAAGUUUUAGCCACUGGGAGACGAUAGGCAGGCUAGGGGAACUCAUUUUAAUGUUAGAAAACUUCAUAAAGUGAGAUUUUCAUGCCAUGGGACCUUUAAGCAAUAAAAUACACUCUCCUUCUCCGGUUUCGUUCGCGACACCCUUCUUCUUCGUCUUUUCUUCAAUUUGUCUCUAGCUCAUAGUCUAAUCUUUCAUUGAUCGAUGCUUCGGAUGUUGUGAAUGCAAAGGAAUAUAUGAUGCAUCGUUGCAGUAACAUUUAAGAUGAUUGCGAUGAGUUCUGCCCGUUCUGCCUCCGUGCUGUCUGCGGUCAAACCAAAACAAACUACAGUGUCAGCGGCCGCACUUAUCCCGCCUCUUGCGAACUUAGACCAUACGUCGAAUCCCGCCCCUUGCAAGCCCGACACUGAUGUCCGCAUAUAAAGCACCAAGUGUGAAAAACCCUCAAGGGCGAAUCUUCUGAUAUACAAAUACGGCAAACAUAAAAUUAUUAUGCUUGCCUCAUGAAGUAAGGAGAAAAUUAUUAUGCUUGCUUCAUUGCGUUAUAGGUGAACCAAUAUAUUAUACGUUGUAACAUUAUAGGCAAAAUGUUACGACAUUAUGCGCUCAGAAAUUAAAUACAAUAUCGACCGGGGUUUCCAUAAUAUUGCUAUGGGUUUAAAAACAACUGGAGGUUGAGCGCAGGCAACGCACACACGGACACUCUAGUCUUACUUCUAUAUAAUAGCAGGCCUGUCGCACCAGUUACUCAAGUUGGUCAGUGUGCACGUGCCAAGCAGCCUGCAGCUCUCACACACACACAACACACGCAAACGCAUACAUACACCGCAAGCACGCACAUACACACCGCAUCCACACACACCGAACACACACCGCACACAUACGCAGCUGUGCACAAACAUACACGGAAGCACACACACAUACACGCACACGCACGCACACACACCGCUAGCCAAUACAAAGGCAGCGACACACUCGCCCAGGUAAGCGGUUAUGUUUUUUAACCGCAACGGCUCCGCCAUCGACACACGCGCAGGUAAGAACACACACGCACGCGCACACACCGCAGCGACACUCGCCCAGGUAACACGUUAUGCUUUCAAACAUAACGGCUCCGCCAUCGACACACGCGCAGGUAAGAACACACACGCACUAGUGUUGGCUCGUUCGUUCGCGAACCGGUUCGAAUGAACGAGUCUUUUGGACGAACGAACCAAACCGGUUCUCUUAUUCGUUCGGUCGUCUCGUUCACCAUUCGAGUCACCGGAAACUCGACUGAGCGAACGAACGAGUUUCCAGUAGCACUAACUCCACUGAGUCUGACUGACUCAGCUGAGAACCGUGCAAUGGCGUGCAUUCCAUGAUGCGAUUUACUUACUUACUUACUGCUAUAGAAUAGCAGGCCUGUCGCACAAGUGAUCGUGCGUCCACACCAAACGCGAAGGGGCGACAUGACUCCAUACAAAUUCAACGUAGAGACGCGAAUCGGGCAAUUUUUUUGCUAGAAAAAUCCUGCUACAAGAUUUGAUUUGUAGCGCCCUGCACCGGCGAGCACGUUCAUGAGGAUUUGCAUUGUGACACUUUGGCUGUUUCCCAAAGUGAAGGCUGCAGCCUUUCACUCGAGUUGAAAGAUUUGAACUUUGGCCCGUGGCCACUGAGUGACGUAACGUAACAGCCAAUCAGCUUUCAACAGCGUGGCCACUGAGGGACGUAACGUAACAGCCAAUCAGCGUUCAACAGCGUGGCCACUGAGUGACGUAACAUAACAGCCAAUCAGCGUUCACCCGGCCAACCGUUCCCUGCAGUGCAGUCCGGUGAACCGCAGCAUGGAGGAGAAAGUACUAUAUAUAAUAGUGUAUAAUAUUAUAUAUUUUAAUGUAUGAUAUUACGGCCAAAAGCUGUGUGAGCCUCCGGACGGCCGUAGCGCGUCGGAAUUGGGCCUUGAGGGGUUUGUUUACUGGCGUUGCUAUGGUUACCGGUCUUGUGUGUUCCAACGGUUUAUCUGCGGUGGUAUCUAAUAAAUCGCGGUCUAAUCAAUACUUCAUUCACUGCCUCUUCCGUGGUCAUUACGAUAUUAUGGACCGACUGCGUCUGGUUCUCCGCCGUCCCUCCCUCUUCCACAACAGGUAAAGACAUGCUACGGUGGUUAUCUCGGCCGUGGUUGACAAUGAAUUGGCAUGAAGCUCCGUUGGCGGGCAAAAAAUGCUUGCUUCAUAACGUAGAGAGGAAAUUAUUAUGCUUGCUUCAUUACGUUAUAGCUGAACCUAAAUGUUAUACGUUGUAACAUUAUAGGCAAAAUAAUUAUGUAAUUAUAUUAUGUGCUCAGAAAUGUGUUACAUUAUCGACUGGGGUUUCCACAUUAUAGCUAUGGGUUUAAUUACAACUCGAGGCUGAGCGUGCAAUGCGCGCGCUCAACCUGUAAUAAUAGCAAUGAUAAUGAUCAUUAUUGUAUUUGUUAGAAUUUGUGUUAGGCCUACUAAUAUGAAUAAUUGUAACAAUAGCAACGAUAAUAAUAUUGAUAACUGUAGUUAUUACUAUUUUAAUUAGUAUUAAUAUUAUGGACUUUGUGUUUGGUUGGCUGUGGGUCCUGUGAUGCUUAGAGACGAUGUCGUUCUGUUUUAGAGCUCAUAUCUUCUGUAUUCCUCUGUCCUGUCCUAGACUCACCGUCACCCUGGAUAGAGGGGAGAGAGCACUUACUGGAUGAACUCGGUGAGGGUUUUAUCCUAGUUAUUAAAUAAAUCGCGUCAUUAACAUUAAUUUCAAAAACACCCUCUGCUUCUGUGAUUCAUAUUGUGGUCUACUAAGGUCAGGUUUCUAUUGUCGUCUAUUGAGGUCAUGCUUCUAUGUGGUCUGUUAAGGUCAGGUCUCAGGGUUGUGUGUACGUAACGAAGACCGUAAGAUAAGCAGUUCUCUGUUUGUUCAGGAUGUUCUUUUACAUUCAACAGAUGAAUUGACACUUCAGGGCUGGAUGCUUCACAACAAGAGUCUCUACCGUGUUUCUACUACUAAGAAGGGCUGGAGGGCCAGUAGAGAAGACUGUCAGAAGAGAAAGGCAGACCUGUUGGUCAUCAACAGCAGAGAAGAACUGGUGUGUGUGUGCGUGUGUGUGUGUGUGUGUGUGUGUGUGUGUGUGUGUGUGUGUGUGUGUGUGUGUGUGUGUGUGUGUGUGUGUGUGUGUGUGUGUGUGUGAGCGUGCGUGUGGGAGAGACCAAUUGUUUUUGUGAGUGAGUGAG